UCAAAUAGAAUGGUAGCAUGCUA
rnacentral:siRNA from 1 species